UACAUGUCGCCACCAACCCACUGUCUCCAUCACAGCUCCGGAACUUGGGGUUUUCUGUAGGUGCUGUUAAACAAUGAAAUCUGAAGUUCUGGCGAAGCUUUCGUCGGAGGAGGAUUUGAGGAAGUUGCGAGACGCGGUCUCGAUCUUAAAAAAACGCCAGAAGCGUUUCAGUCGUUUCGUCUACCCCCAAAAGCGGUAUCAUCAGGACCUACGUCGCGAAAUCCAGGAGAAAAUAAGAGUUUCACUUUCUACACACAAGGCGCCACUGCAGUUUAUAGACGGCAUACAGAGAUACCGACAUAAAGAGAUAUUAUCCGCAACCAACAACUUUUCUCCUGAAAAUCUCAUUACGAAAGGUGCCUUAGGAGAGGUGUACAAAGGACAACUCUUGCGGGAUGGGAUUUUGAUGAAUUUUACCAUACGAAGGUUAGAUUGCACGUACAGGCAAGGAGAUGAGAUGCAGACGGAGGUUUCAAUGCUUAAGAGCCUUGAACAUAAAAAUAUCAUUUCCAUUUUUGGGCAUUAUGACGAGAAUAAUGAAAACAUCAUCAUUUACGAGCAAGCAUUUCACGGAACUCUUGACCAUCAUUUAAGUGAUCCAACUCUCACAUGGUCCCAAAGACUUAAAAUAUGUUUUGGUGUUGCAAGCGCACUCAGUUACAUCCAUUGUGAUAUCAUACAUUGCGACAUCAAUAGCUCUAAAGUAUUUUUAGACGAAGAUUGGGAACCUAAGAUUUAUGGUUUUGAACUUUCCACAAAAUAUCCUCAAAGUUGGAGGCAUCGUCUUCUUUACUCUCACUACUUUGGCACCAACAUUAUGACACCGAAGUAUGAUAUUCACUCUUUUGGUGUAUUAUUGUUUGAAAUCCUUUGUGGGAGGAAACCAAUGACUACAGAUGAUGGUAUUCCAGAAGAACUAAUUGAUCGUAAUUUAAGGAGACAGAUGGAGACAGAAUCAUUGAAACAGUUCAAAGAAUUGGCUCUUAAAUGCUUGAAUCAACAACUUGUGAAACAUCUUACUAUGGAUCAGGUUGUUAAAGAACUUGAGGAGGUGUUGGAACUUCAAUGGAAACAUGCAAAUAUUGAGUCCUCUGUAGAUGAAGGUACACCAUCCAACAGCUUAAAGAUGGAUUUGCUGAUGAUCCCGCUAAGCGAAAUAAGGCAAGCCACACAAAAUUUCGAACAACAGGUUGUUGGGGCUGGUGCGUAUGGUAUAGUGUAUAAAGCAAAACUUGAUGUUUUAGACAUCCAAAGCUUGUCAUCAAUGGUAGGGAAGCUUAAUGAUGAAUUGCCCAAGAUAAACAAAACGGUAGCUAUAAAACGUAUUAUCGGUAAAAUGGACGAUGAAGGCAGAGAAGGGUUUUCAACAGAACUUGAAUUGCUUACUAGUUGUACGCAUCCAAAUAUAGUCUCUCUUCUUGGCUUUUCUAGAGAAGCUCAAGAAAAGAUUCUUGUUUUUGAGUAUGCUUCUAACGGAAGCCUUAGUGAUUAUUUGGAAAACAAUGAUAAUACGGUUAAUCUUACUUGGGUGCAAAGAAUACAAAUUUGCCUUAAUACUGCAAAUGCAAUUAAGUACCUUCACACAGACAUGGAGGGAAAACCAAGGAUAAUACAUCGAGAUAUAAAGAGCGAUAACAUUUUAUUAGAUGAAAAUAUGAAUGCAAAGCUUGCUGACUUUGGGCUCUCCAAAUUUCAAAAUAAACGAUUUGCUAGCACUGUCAGUACAAAACAUAUCGCAGGCACAAAGGUUUAUCUGGAUCCAGAAUAUCUGACUACAGGCAGGUAUAAAAGGAAAUCAGAUAUCUACUCUUUUGGGGUUGUUUUAUUUGAAGUCCUAUCUGGGAGUUUGGCCUAUGAUUCAUUUUACCUUCGCCAAGAUGAAAUGGGACUUGCACCCAUUGCAAGGAGACACUACAAUGAGCGAACGUUAAAGGAAUUGAUAGAUCCUAAAAUAACAGAAGAAGAUAAUGAUCACAUUUUCACUUUAAAUAGAGGACCCAACCAAGAUUCUUUCCACACAUUUUCAGAAAUUGCAUAUCGAUGUUUGUUAGAAACUCAAGCCAAGCGUCCAACAAUUGAAGACGGAACUUACAAAAGCAUUGAAGUUGCAAGGGGAAACCAUGGUACUCUCAAGGUUUCGGCUUAAUGAUAUAAAGUCGGCUACCAAGAACUUUGCUGAAUCAUACCGCAUUGGUCUAGACACAAACAGUAUGGUGUACAAGGCCGAACUCGCUCAUUUUGGAAACAAUAGUUUGCUGGCAACAGAUGGGAAGAAUAAUGGUGUCCCAUCCGAGAAAGGCAUUGCGGUAGCUAUAAAUCGCUUCACUAGUAGAAAAAGCAUCCAAGGAAAACAAGAAUUCUUCGCAGAGCUUGAAAUGAGUACUGUUUAUAAGCAUCUCAACAUAGUCUCUGUUCUUGGUCUUUGUGACGAAGCUGAUGAAAUGACCCUUGUCUAUGACUAUGCUCCUGAGAGAAGCCUUGAUUACUAUUUGAAACACAAUACUAACAUAGAUAAUUUUACAUGGACUCACCGUCUACACAUUUGCCUUGAGAUUGCACGUGGGCUUGAUCACCUUCACACCAAUAUGGUCAACCAACAAAGGAUAAUAACUAUUGACAUAAAGAGUGCUAACAUUCUGUUAGACGAGAAUUCGGAGGCGAAAAUUGCGUGUUUUAAGAUUUCCAAGUUACACCCAACAAAUCAAGAGAUAGACAUGAAAGUGUAUGAGGAUCCGGAAUACAAAACCACAGGUAAAGUAAAAAGAAAAUCUGAUGUAUACUCUUUCGGAGUUGUUCUUUUUGAGAUCUUUAGUGGGAGGUUGGCAUAUGAUCUAGAUUACAUACGAGAAAAUGACAAAGGGCUUGCACCAAUUGCACGUCAAUGUUUCAACGACAGAACCAUAGAGAGAAUAAUGGAUCAAAAGCUAAAGGAAGAAACCGAUGAAGACAUUUUCAUUUUAAAUAGACCACCCAAUAAAAAUUCUGUGGACACAUUUUUAAAAGUUGCAUAUCAGUGUUUGGGAAAAGCUUCUGAGCGGCCUACAAUGGGACUCGUGAUCAAGGAGCUUGAGAUAGCAGUAAACUUUCAUGAAACCCCUGUGAAAAAGCUCCAAAUUUCGCGUAAAAAUAUUGAAUUCGCCACAAAAAACUUUAGUGAAAAGAAUUGCGUUGGAAGUGGUAGAUUUUGGAAGGCGUAUGAAGGAGAACUUCCGUUGGGACAAGACAAUGCUUAUGCUAGUGGUAGCACCACCAUUGUUGCCAAGCGGUGGGAUAGCAAGUUUGAUCAAGGAGAUCAUCAAUUUCGGACAGAAGUUAAUAUUCUUUUCAAGUGUCGUCACGAGAAUGUCAUCGGUCUUGUAGGAUAUUGUAACGAAAUGGAUGAGAAAAUCAUCGUUUACGAGCAUAUGUCUAAUGGAAGUCUUGACAAAUAUUUAAAAGAUGCUAAUCUUACAUGGAUGAAACGGCUUGUGAUAUGUAUCGGUGUUGCAAGCGGAUUGGACUUUCUUCAUCAAGGUGGUGUAAAGCUAAAGAAGGUGGUACACAGGGAGAUUAAAAGCUCUUGUAUUCUACUAAAUGAUGAUUGGAAGGCAAAAAUUUCUAAUUUGGAGUUGUCUUCAUUAGAAUCACUACCGCAGGACAUGGAACAUGUCAGCGACAAGGCUUAUGAUACAUCUGCUGAAAAAUCGGAUAUAUACUCCUUUGGGGUGGUUUUAUUUGAGAUCUUGUGCGGAAGAUUGGCAUAUGCAGAAAAUGGUGAAGACCACUCUCAGUUUUUAGGCUCUUUGGCUAAAAGGUGCUAUGAAGAAGGAAAACUUGAUGAGAUGGUGUUUGACGGUAUAAAAGACCAAAUUGUUUCAGAUUCAUUGUCUACAUUUGUAGAGGUUGCCUAUCAAUGCAUGCAUGACAAGAGCGAAGUACGGCCAACGGCACAUGAUGUGGUAACACAACUCAAGAAAGCAUUGGAUUUCCAAAAAGAUUAUGAAAAAUGGGAGGCCCAAGUGCCUGAACGCUACAAAGAAAUAAUCCGGAUGUCAGACACCCCUGAGAUGUACUCUAAAGUAAAGAGAAAAGAUCUUAUUGACGCUUUCUCUAAAGGAAUCCUCAUACAGGAUGGCAAAGUGUGGUUUUCACUUGGAUGCAAUGAAGAAAGAAAUGAAAUGGUAUCAGCAAGCCAAUUUUCAUACGAAAAUCAUUCCUCACAUAAGUGGUGUUCCGUUCCAGAAUCAAGAUUUGAGAAAGUAGCAGAGAUGUCAAAUAUUUCAAAUUUGAAUAUCCAAAUAAAGAUAAGAAGUCGGUCUCUAUCUUCUAGUGUCAAUUAUGGUGUUCAUCUUGUCUUUAAAUUUUGCGGUGCAAGAAAAUCCGGAGCCAAGCCGAUGUAUGUGAACCUAACUUACAAAAUGGGGAAUGAAACUUUACAUGCUUAUUUCGCAACAUGGAGAGAAGAUGAGUGGAUGAAGAUUGAAUUGUACCGUUUCUUCAAUCACAACGAAUCAGAUACUAUCGACUUUGAGUUUCUGUUAGAGAGCUUUUCACGAUGCUAUUGUGGAAGCGGUGCCAUUUAUGUUGAAGGCAUUGAGUUUCGAGCCAUUGACAAUGUGAAACCUGAAGAAAACAACUUAACGGAAGUCCAACAAGUAAUCAUGGAUCCGAUGCAACAAUUGCAAACUAAUGAUGUUCCUUCUCAUAUUGGUGGCUUAAAACCGCUUCUGAAGUUGUUCAAAUGGAGAAAAAAGAAGAGACAAUAUUACAUGCUUUCAGCAAAUGAGGCUUUUCGCAAGACUUUUAAUGCGAAGUUUUUUAAUUUGAAACCCUCAACCGAGUCCAAAUUUAAGAAAGUGAUUGAGGUUUUAUCCACUCACGUAUUUCGUAUCAAGGGCAAGAUCAAAAGUAAAAUGUUGUUAGAAAAUACAGAAUAUAGUUGUCACCUUGUGUUCAAGCUCUCAGAAAAGCGGUGUGGGUUGCAUUGUCCGGUGAUAGUACGAGAUCUACAUCAACAUAGGAAUAAACAUAGUGAAGUUGUUUAUUUUAGAUCCCCAAGUCCAUGGAAUAAAGAUGAUGUUAAUCGGGUUCCUCAAGAGAGGGAAGAUGGAUGGAUGGAGGUUUAUGUGUGGAAAUUCAAAUCAAAUCAUAAGCUUCAAAAUAUGUGGAUGAAUUUGAAAUUUGUAACCUAUGAAGGAACGAUGUCUGGCCUUAUUAUAUGUGGUCUUGAGUUUCGCCCAGUGUAAGUUCAUCAAGAGGAGAUAAUUCUGGCCAUAUUGUAUUUCUAUAGACAGACAACAUAUAGCAGUGGCCAUUUCACUUGUAA